rnacentral:sRNA from 1 species
UGAAUUGGAUAAAAUUUCGAGAACAGUGUUGAAUAUUGACAGCAUGGUAAUUAUAAGGGACAUUCUUUUUUGUUGUUUACCAUAUCAGAAUUAUCACUAGAAUUUUUCCAUUAAUGUGUGUGUGUGUGUGUGUGUGUGUGUGUUCAC